rnacentral:rRNA from 1 species
AGAACUUAGCAGAGAUGCUUUGGUGCCUUCGGGAACUCUGAGACAGGUGCUGCAUGGCUGUCGUCAGCUCGUGUUGUGAAAUGUUCGGGUUAAGUCCCGCAACGAGCGCAACCCUUAUCCUUUGUUGCCAGCGGUCCGGCCGGGAAACUCAAAGGAGACUGCCAGUGAUAAACUGGAGGAAGGUGGGGAUGACGUCAAGUCAUCAUGGCCCUUACGAGUAGGGCUACACACGUGCUACAAUGGCGCAUACAAAGAGAAGCGACCUCGCGAGAGCAAGCGGACCUCAUAAAGUGCGUCGUAGUCCGGAUUGGAGUCUGCAACUCGACUCCAUGAAGUCGGAAUCGCUAGUAAUCGUGGAUCAGAAUGCCACGGUGAAUACGUUCCCGGGCCUUGUACACACCGCCCGUCACACCAUGGGAGUGGGUUGCAAAAGAAGUAGGUAGCUUAACCUUCGGGAGGGCGCUUACCACUUUGUGAUUCAUGACUGGGGUGAAGUCGUAACAAGGUAGGCGUAGUGCU